GAUUGCAUAUCAAUUAUGAACCUGCGGUGGUUUGGUGGACGUCAGAUUACUGCAGAAUACUUUGACGGCAAGACGAAUUAUAAAAUGGAGACCUUCAAACCUACAGAAGCCAUUGAGGCAGAAGAG
rnacentral:ribozyme from 1 species